rnacentral:rRNA from 1 species
UACGUAGGGCGCAAGCGUUGUCCGGAAUUAUUGGGCGUAAAGAGCUCGUAGGCGGCCUGUUGCGUCUGCUGUGAAAUCCCGGGGCUUAACCCCGGGCGUGCAGUGGAUACGGGCAGGCUAGAGGCAGGCAGGGGAGAACGGAAUUCCUGGUGUAGCGGUGAAAUGCGCAGAUAUCAGGAGGAACACCGAUGGCGAAGGCAGGUCUCUGGGCAUUAACUGACGCUGAGGAGCGAAAGCAUGGGGAGCGAACAGG